rnacentral:rRNA from 1 species
GACUAUGGCCAUACCACCCUGAACAUGCCUGAUCUUGUCUGAUCUUGGAAGCUAAGCAGGGUCGGGCCUGGUUAGUACUUGGAUGGAUGUUUAGGAAAAAAGAAAAUAUUUGAAGACU